GACGAACGCUGGCGGCGUGCCUAAUACAUGCAAGUCGAGCGAAGUUUUUCUGGUGCUUGCACCGGAAAAACUUAGCGGCGAACGGGUGCGUAACACGUAAAGAACCUGCCUCAUAGACUGGGACAACUAUUGGAAACGAUAGCUAAUACCGGAUCACAGCAUUAACUGCAUGGUUGAUGUUUAAAAGUUGGUUUUGCUAACACUAUGAGAUGGCUUUGCGGUGCAUUAGCUAGUUGGUGGGGUAAAGGCCUACCAAGGCGACGAUGCAUAGCCGACCUGAGAGGGUGAUCGGCCACACUGGGACUGAGACACGGCCCAGACUCCUACGGGAGGGAGCAGUAGGGAAUCUUCCGCAAUGGGCGAAAGCCUGACGGAGCAACGCCGCGUGAGUGAAGAAGGAUGUCGGUUCGUAAAGCUCUGUUGUUAGGGAAGAAUGAUUGUGUAGUAACGAUACACAGUAGAGACGGUACCUAACCAGAAAGCCACGGCUAACUACGUG
rnacentral:rRNA from 1 species